rnacentral:rRNA from 1 species
UGAACGCUGGCGGCAUGCUUUACACAUGCAAGUCGAACGGCAGCACGGGCUUCGGCCUGGUGGCGAGUGGCGAACGGGUGAGUAAUAUAUCGGAACGUACCCAGAAGUGGGGGAUAACGUAGCGAAAGUUACGCUAAUACCGCAUACGAUCUAUGGAUGAAAGCAGGGGACCGCAAGGCCUUGUGCUCCUGGAGCGGCCGAUAUCUGAUUAGCUAGUUGGUGAGGUAAAGGCUCACCAAGGCGACGAUCAGUAGCUGGUCUGAGAGGACGACCAGCCACACUGGAACUGAGACACGGUCCAGACUCCUACGGGAGGCAGCAGUGGGGAAUUUUGGACAAUGGGCGCAAGCCUGAUCCAGCAAUGCCGCGUGAGUGAAGAAGGCCUUCGGGUUGUAAAGCUCUUUUGUCAGGGAAGAAACGGUAGAGGCUAAUAUCCUUUGCUAAUGACGGUACCUGAAGAAUAAGCACCGGCUAACUACGUG